GCCAGACCAAGUCACUUCUGCUGUUCUAGGGUUCAUUUUCAGAGAAAGUAGGCAGGCACACAAAUCUCAUUAUGCGUUACGAGGAUCUGUGCAAACACUUCUUGUGCGCUGUCUUAAAACCAUACCCCUAAGGGACUCAUUCACAAAGGGAAUAGAAGGAAAGGAAAUUUGUAUAUUUUCUGGAAGCAGUAAGACAUGACAUGCAGCACGGUUCUGGCUGAUUACAGCAUGCCUCAGGUGAGCUGGGGGGCAUGAGGCUGCCAGCCAAGUGAUUUCAACCACCCAAGAAAGAGAACUCUGCAGAAAUGCAUUGUGUGGCAUGUCUGAUUGCUACAAAGAAAAACACUCCAGUCACAUUGGCAUGGCAUUAUUGGCAUGACUUUUCCUGGCAGCCUAUUGGAAAGUUUUAUUUGCAUCCAGAGUUUUCAAAACCAUUUCAUAACAUUAAACAAGAAUAAUGCUGAAAACACCUGAUUUAUUUGCCCCUUGACACCUAUGUGUAAUCCCUUAUUGAAGCCCUAAUGAGGUGUUCUCCUUGGGCUGUGUUACUUCCAAAAUAACCCUUGCAUACAAGCAGCAUAAUGUACCUUUCCUCUCUGCAUGGGGUGUGGCAAGAGUAGCCAGAUGAAAGUGGAUAAAAUACAUUAUUUUUCCUGUAUAUUCAGUAAUCGAGAUGCAGAGUCAGUUACUGGAUCAUUUGACUUCUUACUGAGCUGGGAAACCUCAAACUGCUAUCACAAGGGCCUACAAAUAAGAGAGAUACUGAGUCUGUUUCCUCUCCUGGGAAUGUAAAUGAGGAACAAGAAUAACGCUCUUGAAACUGUGUAGAAACAGUCUCUGAGGAUAACCUGGCUCUUGUUUCUGUGUGUGUGUUCAUGCUGCUGGAAAAAACAGUUUUAACACACAGACAUGCCUAACCUCAAGUUGUAGUGAAAUUUCCCAGGACCUCCAGAUAACUCCUAAAGUCUUGGGAAAUUCAGAUCAGUGUUUGAAGUCAAUGAUGUUGUAAGAGCUAUGGUGGCAAUGGCAGCAGCUUUGCAAUCUCUGAGCUCCCGGAUGAUGGGUGGUGGCAAAGCACACCUUGCUCUGGAGGAACUGCUAAAAAGACAACCCUCCAGUUCUAGGGUAUUCUCUAAAUGAAUUGGACUGUGAAGGACAGAUUAUUGUGCAUCUUAGUUCAAAAAACAGCUUUUCCCCUCACUCUUGUAAGUCACUUAAUCUUGACUUACUUGAUAGCUUCUUUUCCCAUCCCUUCUUCCUCUGUCUCUCCGCUUUCCUCCCUACUCCCCCAAAAAAUUAAGGGUGAAAAUAAUAAUAGAGAGGGAGGCUGCUGGAAGUGUUUCAGACUUUUCUCUCCCUUUUCAGCAGGGGGUAGGUCAUCUUGUAGUAUAUGUAAACCUAAAAAAGUACACAGUUUUACCUAUAUGUUCUGCAACAAAAUUUGAGUAGAUUCAUGGCAAAUACAUACAGUUUACAUUUUACCACAGAAACAGACAAUUUCUUUUUACAAUGUGUUUUUCUAGCUAUAGGGGAGGGGAAAAAGCAAAACAACCCUCCAAGUUCCUUUUCCACCUGUGUGAGUUAAUUUGCAGUGUCUCUCAUUCUGUUAAUGUGAUGAGGCAACUUCUUUGGCAUUUCUUUCUUUCUUGUUUGUGAAAAGCUGCUAUGUUCAGCAGUCACAAGACACACAUCAUGGCACAAAGAGGAAAGAGCCAAAUAUUCCUCCUUUUCCAUGAACCUGAAACUGUAGCAAUACCAAACAUUUCAGCAUUGGGUCAUAUGGUAAGAACUAGAACCCUAUAAGAUGAGUGGUGGGCUGUAGAUAAAAGAUGGUGUAGAGACAAGGGUUGUAUUUAGCAGGGGGAAAAAAAAGAUGUUGAUAGUGAUGUUUUCAGGUGACUGGAGAAAAGACAAAGUCUGUGCUUCAUCUCAGAUGAGUUCAGGCUUUUUGCCCCACAUGUAAAUCAGAUACAGUCUUAAAUCUAAUGGAAGUGCUUCACAGGUAUACUGCAGUGAGCACUAAGGCCAGUGUCUUUGCUUUCUAGAUUAUUUUCUUCCCUCUUCCUGGCAUUAUGUCACAUUUUCAUCUAAUUACAGACAAUGCAAGGUGGGAAGGUGAAAGCAAUUAUUUCUUUGCUUCCAGAAACAGAGUCAGAACUUUACCAGUCAUAUAUAAAUGGCAGCAGUACCUUUUAACAUUUUCAGUAAACAAAAUACUGAUAGUGCCUUCAAGAUGGCUGAAGGGGAAUGGUCACUCAGGCUUAGAUUUUUUGGAACUUCUCAUCAUAAUUUUGCCAGAGUACAACUGACAUCCAGGCUUAUCCAAAUGAUGGAAAAGUUUCUUGGUUCUUGAAAGUUAGCCAUACUAUACCAGAGGGAAUACAGAGAAUGGUGCUGUUGCAGUGCUUUCCUAUCUACCACACUGUAAGUGGAAAGGUUGAAUAACCCCCAAUUCUGACACUUGUACAUCAGGAAAUAAUGAAAAAUGUUCUGGAAACAAGCAUAUUUGCUCUAAGGACUGUGUCAUUCCAAGAAGAAAGAGUUUCAGAGUGUUGUGGUUGAAUUAAUCUCUUCAUUCAAUGCUGUAUUUAAAAAAAAAAAAAAAACCACCAACCCUAAUGAUUCUAUGCUCUGUCCCAGGAUUACCCUGGCUUUGUGCCUGGCAGGCUGGCUUUGCUCUGAAGCACACCAGCUCUCCGUACCUUGUAUAUUUUAAUUCUGACACUGAUCUUCAAUCAGCCUUGCUCUGGCCUUCCAGUGAAAAUAUGCCAAAAUGUCAUAGGUUUCCAAAUGAAAUGCAAAUACUGAACUUUCUGAAAUUUACCGAUAGUAUUUUAUUCCUUUACUGCAUCUGAGCUGUACCAAUGAGGCACAUCGGAAACAAGGGUUUAAGAUUCCUGACAGCAAAGGUCUUUGCACUUGCCACUCCACAGGUGUCUCAGCUGGAUGGUCUAUGGCACCUUGAUGAUCUUAAAGGUCUUUUCCAACCUAAAUGAUUCUACAGUUCUACCUCCCAUGAAGAAUAUGAGUCCUCUGCUUGCUUGCUCACUCAGCACAAUGAAAAAAAGCAAAGAAAUACUCAAAGUCAGGUCAGACUACCUUUUGUCAUAUGUAACUGUUAUUACACAGAUGUCACAGCAGCAGGUGCAAAAUAAAUACCUGGGUAAUGGAAACCAUUUGCUUUGCCUUUAGCCACAGGCAUCAGGUCUGAUUUACUUGUGGCUGGCAGCUAAGAGAGCAAGGGAGAGCCAGGUCCCUAUAGCCAGGCUCACUUUGCUCAGAGAUGGGAAAAGAUGGCCACAGUGGAAGCUGCUCCAGAGGAGAUCGUCCUAUUUUUCACCCAUGCCCUCUUCCUCAUGUUCCCUACUAUUCUGCUAGAGCAGGGAGAUUUAGCUGAGCCUUGAAUCCACACUUACGCACUGCCCUUUCAUCAUUUGGACCUCGGUGGAUGUACACAAUCUGGAGCAGUCUUUGCUCAAGGCAAACAAAGUAAAGGAGGAGAGUGACAUUUCAGUCUUUCAUUGCAGAGUCAUUCAGGUCACUCACUGAAAUUAUAGACACCAGCUCCAGCAAUGUUAACAGCCAACUUUAGAUUAUUAACCAUCCUUUUGAUAGCAGUACAUUUAUGGUGCCAGUGCACAGAGAAUUUCUCCAAAUUACAGGGUGUCCUAACACAGCCGGUCAAACCACAUGGACCCCUAGAUGCAGUAAGCAGUAUAAUUAAACCUGUUUUCUCAUUUGUACUUUCCUAGCAGCAUUCAAAAUACUCUCUCGACCACUGGAUGCUGCUCUUUGCAUCAGGCUAUGAAAAGAGAACCAUUUUCACUGUCUAAUUCUGCUGCUGUACAUUUUGGUACCUAUGUAAAGAUCCAAGAAUAAAUUUUGGCCUGGACCAUGGAAUAUUUACUCACUUUGAAAUGCAGAUGUGACCUGCCUUCUCCUUCUGCAACUAACAGGGUGACCAGAGGCAGUGGAAUGUACACCAGGACUGGAAAGAACAGAACCAGAGGGAAAGCAAACUGUCAAGAGAACAGUGUACUGAAGAGGAAAAAUGUAAAACAUGACUUCUAUUUACCAUGAUUAAUAUGUAAAGUUAACAUGUUUGCCAUGGAAUAUAUUAAUAUGUAUGUUUUCCUAUUAUGUAGAUCUUUUCUAACAUUACUUUUUAGAAAGGGAUAUAAUCACAAUGAUGGGGCAAGAAUGCCACUUAAAAAUUAGGUGAUGCCCAGUCAACAUAACAUAACCACUACAGUGUCAUUUCUGAUUUAGAUGUGGUGAUAUCAGUAUAAUUGCCUCUGGGAAGAAAUUAAAAUGGCUGUUAAUGAUAAAUAAAAUGACAAGAAGGAGGAUCUUCCUUCACAUAUAAUUCCAAGCAAAAUACAGCUGCUGAAUUCCUUGAACACUUGGUGCCAUUCAUUGAAAAAGAGGAAACAAGUGGUUUUUGUGCAGCUGCAUGGCCAUAAGAGCUGCCCUGUCUUUUUCCAAGCCCAAAUGUAGACACCAUAGGUCUAUAAAGAUUUCACCAUGCCAUUUCCACUCAGGGGAGAUGUAAUGGUAAAGCUCACAUGAAGUGAAUAUUGACACUAUUCUAGCAGAAAACCCUGUACAUAACAAACAGAAAGAUAAGCAAAACCAGGGUAGAGGCAGGGAGACAACAGAACAUGUGGAUACUCUACAAAACCUCCAGAUACUCCUGCCUUGUCUCUGUCAACAUAGGCAGCUUUAGCUCACGGAUCAAAAGACCUUCAUACAUUUGUUUUAUAUCAUAAAUGUGUCGAGAAUGAGCUACACAAAACAUCAUUCACCUACUACACAUGGCUUGUUAGCCUCGUCGAGGGCAUCUUUCAACUCAUUCACACAUUAGAAGCCAGGAAAACAACAUUUGAUUACUAGUUCUAGCAUUAAGAUCAAAGACCAUACCCUCCCAUCUGUGAAGAGCAAGAGCCUCUUGCUUUCUCCUCUCUUUGCAUUAACAGAAGAAUUGAAGAGUCAAAACACAAAAUCAGCGUUAUACUCCACAUCCCAUGAGUAACACAGUGCCAGCCUAUAAAAACACAAAGCAGCCACUAUAAUUUACAUACAUUUUCUUGGAAAGAAAUAUAAGCGAAUCUCUAGUCACAUCUUCACGAUACUCCCACUCUUCAGUUAUCCAAAGCUCAGAGUGGCUUGAUCCACAGGUGUUAUCCUAGUGUAUAAAAUUACAAUAUCUCUUAAAAGGGAAAAUACCAUAUACCUGCCAUUUACUCCUCUCCUGAUAUCUUCAAAAUCAGAUGGUGGUAUAAGGGUUAGAUUAAAUGAAGGCACUAACUUGAAAUCACAAAAACAAAACUGAUGUGGGGUAAGUCAAUGUUAUUUGAUUACCAUAAGUAGGUUUUGCCUGUUGGUCAAAGAAGCUUAACAAAAUAAAUAAAUAAAAAUCAGCCUUAACCUGGAGAAUAAGUAUGUCCACUUUCAGAGGAAACUUAUUUGUUGAUUCAGUUCUAGCCAAUGCAAUUUCUUCUGCAGGGGCUUUGCUCUUAGGUACAUGUAGCCAAACCAUAGCAGAGGCAAUGAAUGAAGAGAAGGUAAAAAAAUGAAUAAUGUGUAACAUGCUUUCUAAAAUAUGGCAAAUUAACACAGAAAAGACCCUAGUGAAACAGCUAAACCAUGGACUUAGCAUUUCGAGAUUUGAGGACUUUUUUUUAUUUUCUCGGUGGUCUGUAUUACUACACAGCAUGUGAAAGGAGUGCAGAGCUCAGUCAGCCCCCAUCUAAUUGUGUUGGCUCUUUUGCAUGAAGAUCAUUUACUGAUAAAUUGUUACAGACACAUUUAGGCAACAAGUUUUUAUAGGAUGCCUGGUGCUCUUUAUAAUGCAAUUAACGUUAUUUAGUAUACAUGUUUUCUUAUGCAUUGUUGUUCUUUCACUGGCAAGCAAUAGCAAUGAAAUCUUCACCCUUCAAGUGGUGGAAUCUUUCCUCAUGUUUCCUGGAUUUGAGCUGUCUUUUGGGAGCAUAGAGUCAUCAAAAGAAAAAUCCUACCUAAUGUUUAGUAAAGGGUGUUUAACGUCUGUCUGAAAAAGUUAGAAGAAAAUGUGGGCUGAGGUUGAUCUUAAUCUUUUGAGAGCUUUAAAAAAGACACAAGGAACAGUUUAUUUUAGAAAGUGAAGCAUUUUAAUCUGCUCCAAAGGAGCUGCAAAGAAAAGCCUUCCUCUGAGUUCACAUGUUGGAAGACUCCUUGCAGUAUUUACUCAAGCAUGCCAUGGAUAGGUAAUGAAAAAUCACAAAUUCUGACAUCUCCAAACCUCUACUCACCAGCCAAGUAUCAAGGAGGCCCCAGGUCUGCAUCUCUUCCAGCAGUGGUAAGGUUCUCCAGGCAACAAGUUCUCCAUGUAUGUGUCCUUUUGUGCAAGACACACCCCUACCUCCGGGUACUGCAAUGGUACUUGCCUGGUCUACCUUUAAGCCAUGCUGACAUUCAUGUGCAAGGUAUCCCUUCCUUGUACCAUGCAGGACCCAGUCUGGUAGCCCUGAAAAAGACGUGUUCUGAGCACCUGCCUGAGAUGCAAGCAGGGAAUAAAAUUCAUUUCUUCCAAGGUGAUUCAAUUGCACACUUUUUCGGAAGGUCCUAACCACAAAAAUAUAGUGACUUUUUUUGAAUAGGGAUCCCCUUUGUGAAGCUGUUCUGCUUACCAUAAAUCAAAUGUAGAGAGAGAACUCAGACACCCUGUUCUUGACUGGCCAUCAUAAUCUCUACACCUGAAAGCCUUUCUUUCUCACUAGCUGCACUGCUUUCUUGUGCCUUGACUUAUUUUCUAGGAUCUCUUGCACAAAGAGUAGAGGCACUGCUCUGCAGCCUGUGAGUCCUGCUAGCACCAAAUUUGAUUCACAAUUUCCCACUACAGUUGCUACUGCCUCCAAGUACCUAAAACUUUACAUCUACAGGAGCAAAGAGAUCAUGAUCUAAGCACUCUUAGUACUAUAUUUGACACAGAAUGUAUUAUUCACUAUCAAGAGAAAGCUCUGGGUCCUAGAUGUGCUCCAGAGUCUCAACCAACUCAGGAAAUGGAGCACAAGUUUCUCCUCUCUCUUGUGACCAUGCCAACAACUGAGCUGAACAAUCUGUUCAGUUUCGCUCAGUCUCCCUGACCUAGUAAAUGUCUAAAUCCCACACAAAACACAUCAGCAAGAAUCCCUGCAAUUCAGCAAGAGCCUCAUCCCAAAGCCAGUUAUGCAGCCUGUUAUGACAACCCUGGGUGGCUCUGCCUGGGACCACUGUGGCUUUCACAGGUGAAUCAGCAGCAGGAAUUCCUUCAGGUAGAGUGCAAUUACUAGGGCUGGAAUUUAACCAGAAUUAUUACCCAGCUCCUGUGAAAAUUCCCAGAAUCACAUAAAAGUUGUAAAGUUGGAAGGGAACACAGUGGGUCCAACCUCCUGCUCUGAUCCAGCCUUCCUGCUUGAGGAGGGUCCCCUAGACUACUCAGUUGAGAUGGUUCUUGCAUAUCUCCAGUGAGAGAGAUUCCACACCCUCUCUGGGCAACCUGUUCCAGUACAUGGUCACCUGCACAUAAAGAAGAACCUGUGAGUCCUGGUGGGUGACAAGUUGGCAUGAACUGGCAAUGUGUCCUUGGGGCCAGGGAUUCCUUGAGUGGAUCAUGGAAUACAUUGCAAAGAGUUUGGCCAGCAGGUCAAGGGAAGUGAUCCUCAACCUCUACUGGGCCCUAGUGAGGCCGCAUCUGGAGUGCUGUAUCCAGUUCUUAGGAUCCUCAAGACAAAAAAGACAAGGAGCUACUGGAGGGGGUGCAGAGGAGGGCCAAAAGAAUGAUUUGGGGUCUGGACCAUCUCUUAUGAGGAGAAACUGUGGGAACUGGAGCUCAUUAGUCAGUUGAAGAGAAGACUGAAGAGGGGAUCUCAUUAAUGCAUGUAAUCUCCAAGGCAGCUGCCAAGAAGAUGGUGCCAGACUGUUUACAGUGGUGCCCAGUGACAGGAUGAGGAGCAGUAGCCAUAAACUAAAACACAAGACGCUUCACCUCAACAUGAAGAACUUCUCUACAUUGAGAGUGACAAAGUAUUGAAACAGGCUGCCUGGAGAGGUCAUGGAGUCUCCCUCUCUGGAGAUAUUUCAAACACGCCGGCACACACUUCUGUAUAACCUGUUUCAGGUGAUCCUGCCUUGGCAGGGAAGUUGGUCUAGAUGAUCUCCAGAGGUCCCAUUCAACCCUAACAACACUGUGGUUCUGUAAUUCUGUCCAUUGCCUUUUGUCCUAUUGCUUGGCACCACUGAGAAGAGCCUGUAUCCAUCAUCUUGGCACCCUCCCUUCCCAUCCUUAAUAAUCACUGCCAGAUAUUGGCUUUGCACCUUGCUGAGAAAACUGCAAGAAGAUGUCUUUGGCAGGGUGUUUACUCCAGGGAGGUGGUGUGGCCAAGCAGAGAGAGCACUGGGGGGAAGUCCUGCCUGCUGACUGACCUG